rnacentral:rRNA from 1 species
CCUACGGGUGGCAGCAGUGGGGAAUAUUGCACAAUGGGGGGAACCCUGAUGCAGCGACGCCGCGUGAGCGAAGAAGGUUUUCGAAUCGUAAAGCUCUGUCCUAUGGGAAGAUAAUGACGGUACCAUAGGAGGAAGCCCCGGCUAACUACGUGCCAGCAGCCGCGGUAAUACGUAGGGGGCUAGCGUUGUCCGGAAUCACUGGGCGUAAAGGGUUCGCAGGCGGAAAAGCAAGUCAGGUGUGAAAGGCGAGGGCUUAACCCUCGUAAGCAUUUGAAACUGUUUUUCUUGAGAUGUGGAGAGGUAAGUGGAAUUCCUAGUGUAGCGGUGAAAUGCGUAGAUAUUAGGAGGAAUACCGGUGGCGAAGGCGACUUACUGGACACAAACUGACGCUGAGGAACGAAAGCGUGGGGAGCAAACAGGAUUAGAUACCCUUGUAGUC